GGCAGCGUAGCUCAGCUGGUUAGAGCGUCCGGCUCAUACCCGGAAGGUCCUCGGUUCAAAUCCGAGCGCUGCUA
rnacentral:tRNA from 1 species